rnacentral:rRNA from 1 species
GACAAACGCUGGCGGCGUGCUUAACACAUGCAAGUCGAACGGAAAGGCCCUGCUUUUGUGGGGUGCUCGAGUGGCGAACGGGUGAGUAACACGUGAGUAACCUGCCCUUGACUUUGGGAUAACUUCAGGAAACUGGGGCUAAUACCGGAUAGGAGCUCCUGCUGCAUGGUGGGGGUUGGAAAGUUUCGGCGGUUGGGGAUGGACUCGCGGCUUAUCAGCUUGUUGGUGGGGUAGUGGCUUACCAAGGCUUUGACGGGUAGCCGGCCUGAGUGGGUGACCGGCCACAUUGGGACUGAGAUACGGCCCAGACUCCUACGGGAGGCAGCAGUGGGGAAUAUUGCACAAUGGGCGGAAGCCUGAUGCAGCAACGCCGCGUGCGGGAUGACGGCCUUCGGGUUGUAAACCGCUUUCGCCUGUGACGAAGCGUGAGUGACGGUAAUGGGUAAAGAAGCACCGGCUAACUACGUG